ACACAAAAGCGCAUGUGUUGUGAGCUCGAUGAGUAGGGCGGGACACGUGGUAUCCUGUCUGAAUAUGGGGGGACCAUCCUCCAAGGCUAAAUACUCCUGACUGACCGAUAGUGAACCAGUACCGUGAGGGAAAGGCGAAAAGAACCCCGGCGAGGGGAGUGAAAAAGAACCUGAAACCGUGUACGUACAAGCAGUGGGAGCACAGGUUUACCUGUGUGACUGCGUACCUUUUGUAUAAUGGGUCAGCGACUUAUAUUCUGUAGCAAGGUUAACCGUAUAGGGGAGCCGGAGGGAAACCGAGUCUUAAUUGGGCGUUAAGUUGCAGGGUAUAGACCCGAAACCCGGUGAUCUAGCCAUGGGCAGGUUGAAGGUUGGGUAACACUAACUGGAGGACCGAACCGACUAAUGUUGAAAAAUUAGCGGAUGACCUGUGGCUGGGGGUGAAAGGCCAAUCAAACCGGGAGAUAGCUGGUUCUCCCCGAAAGCUAUUUAGGUAGCGCCUCGUGAAUUCAUCUCCGGGGGUAGAGCACUGUUUCGGCUAGGGGGCCAUCCCGGCUUACCAACCCGAUGCAAACUGCGAAUACCGGAGAAUGUUAUCACGGGAGACACACGGCGGGUGCUAACGUCCGUCGUGAAGAGGGAAACAACCCAGACCGCCAGCUAAGGUCCCAAAGUCAUGGUUAAGUGGGAAACGAUGUGGGAAGGCCCAGACAGCCAGGAUGUUGGCUUAGAAGCAGCCAUCAUUUAAAGAAAGCGUAAUAGCUCACUGGUCGAGUCGGCCUGCGCGGAAGAUGUAACGGGGCUAAACCAUGCACCGAAGCUGCGGCAGCGACGCUUAUGCGUUGUUGGGUAGGGGAGCG
rnacentral:rRNA from 1 species